UUGUUAGAAGCCAAAAUUUGAGGCUAACCAUUGUUAAUGGUUUCAUUGACCUGUCCUAUCAAU
rnacentral:tRNA from 1 species